UACGUAGGGUGCGAGCGUUAAUCGGAAUUACUGGGCGUAAAGCGUGCGCAGGCGGUUCGUUGUGUCCGUUGUGAAAGCCCCGGGCUUAACCUGGGAACUGCGAUGGAAACUAGCGAGCUGGAGUGUGGCAGAGGGGGGUGGAAUUCCGCGUGUAGCAGUGAAAUGCGUAGAGAUGCGGAGGAACACCGAUGGCGAAGGCAGCCCCCUGGGCUAACACUGACGCUCAGGCACGAAAGCGUGGGGAGCAAACAGG
rnacentral:rRNA from 1 species